GGGUUGCUGGCGCAGUGGUAGCUCAAUCGGCAUGCGUGCGACAUGUUGAAUGCCCCGAGCCUGCAGCAUUCAACGUGUGGCGUGUCCGGGAGGUGAUAGGUUCGAAUCCUGUGCAAUCCA